GAGAGUUUGAUUCUGGCUCAGGAUGAACGCUGGCGGCGUGCCUAAUACAUGCAAGUCGAGCGAACAGAUAAGGAGCUUGCUCCUUUGACGUUAGCGGCGGACGGGUGAGUAACACGUGGAUAACCUACCUAUAAGACUGGGAUAACUUCGGGAAACCGGAGCUAAUACCGGAUAACAUAUUGAACCGCAUGGUUCAAUAGUGAAAGGCGGCUUUGCUGUCACUUAUAGAUGGAUCCGCGCCGUAUUAGCUAGUUGGUAAGGUAACGGCUUACCAAGGCAACGAUACGUAGCCGACCUGAGAGGGUGAUCGGCCACACUGGAACUGAGACACGGUCCAGACUCCUACGGGAGGCAGCAGUAGGGAAUCUUCCGCAAUGGGCGAAAGCCUGACGGAGCAACGCCGCGUGAGUGAUGAAGGUCUUCGGAUCGUAAAACUCUGUUAUCAGGGAAGAACAAAUGUGUAAGUAACUGUGCACAUCUUGACGGUACCUGAUCAGAAAGCCACGGCUAACUA
rnacentral:rRNA from 1 species